GCCCCAGUAGCUCAGUGGAUAGAGCAAUAGCCUUCUAAGCUAGAGGUCGCAAGUUCGAUUCUUGCCUGGGGUACCA
rnacentral:tRNA from 1 species